rnacentral:rRNA from 1 species
CUUGGUCAUUUAGAGGAAGUAACGGUCGUAACAAGGUUUCCGUAGGUGAACCUGCGGAAGGAUCAUUAACAAAUCUAAUUAUAAGCCCGGCCGCGAGGCCUGGACAUUAAUGCGUGUAUGUGUGACUGUUUUAUUUGAAAAGUAUACAACUUUUAACAAUGGAUCUCUUGGCUCUUGCAACGAUGAAGAACGCAGUGAAAUGCGAAAAUUAAUGCGAUUUGCAUGAAUCUGUGAGUCAUCUAGUCUUUGAACGCACCUUGCACUCAGUGCGUAAGCUCUGAGUAUGCCUGUUUGAGAAUCGCAAACCACCUCAUAUUUGUAUAUAUGGAUUUGGCCUCGGUCAGAGGCUGGAGUAGAGAAGGCAGGCCCGAUAUUAGCUUUAUAGUGUGCCAGAGCAUCACUGUUUGCAAAGUAUUGGGGCUGAAGAGAGGGAUCUCCUCCCAUUUACGCCUUACAUCCUAAUAUUGAUCUCAAAUCAGGCAAGGCUACCCGCUGAACUUAAGCAUAUCAAUAAGCGGAGGA